rnacentral:rRNA from 1 species
GACGAACGCUGGCGGCGUGCUUAACACAUGCAAGUCGAACGGUGAAGGGGCUGGCUUUGCUGGUCCUGGAUGAGUGGCGAACGGGUGAGUAACACGUGAGUAACCUGCCCCCUUCUUCUGGAUAACCGCAUGAAAGUGUGGCUAAUACGGGAUAUUCUGGGUCUGUCGCAUGGUGGGCCUGGGAAAGGUUUUUUCCGGUGGGGGAUGGGCUCGCGGCCUAUCAGCUUGUUGGUGGGGUGAUGGCCUACCAAGGCGGUGACGGGUAGCCGGCCUGAGAGGGUGGACGGUCACACUGGGACUGAGACACGGCCCAGACUCCUACGGGAGGCAGCAGUGGGGAAUAUUGCACAAUGGGCGCAAGCCUGAUGCAGCGACGCCGCGUGAGGGAUGGAGGCCUUCGGGUUGUGAACCUCUUUCGCCAGUGAAGCAGGCCUGCUCCUUUUUUGUGGGUGGGUUGACGGUAGCUGGAUAAGAAGCGCCGGCUAACUACGUGCCAGCAGCCGCGGUAAUACGUAGGGCGCGAGCGUUGUCCGGAAUUAUUGGGCGUAAAGAGCUCGUAGGCGGCUGGUCGCGUCUGUCGUGAAAUCCUCUGGCUUAACUGGGGGCUUGCGGUGGGUACGGGCCGGCUUGAGUGCGGUAGGGGAGGCUGGAACUCCUGGUGUAGCGGUGGAAUGCGCAGAUAUCAGGAAGAACACCGGUGGCGAAGGCGGGUCUCUGGGCCGUUACUGACGCUGAGGAGCGAAAGCGUGGGGAGCGAACAGGAUUAGAUACCCUGGUAGUCCACGCCGUAAACGUUGGGCACUAGGUGUGGGGGGCCUUUUCCGGGUCUUCCGCGCCGUAGCUAACGCAUUAAGUGCCCCGCCUGGGGAGUACGGCCGCAAGGCUAAAACUCAAAGGAAUUGACGGGGGCCCGCACAAGCGGCGGAGCAUGCGGAUUAAUUCGAUGCAACGCGAAGAACCUUACCAAGGCUUGACAUGUGCCGGUCUGCUCCGGAGACGGGGUUUCCUCCCUUGUGGGGGCUGGUUCACAGGUGGUGCAUGGUUGUCGUCAGCUCGUGUCGUGAGAUGUUGGGUUAAGUCCCGCAACGAGCGCAACCCUUGUCUCGUGUUGCCAGCACGUUGUGGUGGGGACUCGCGGGAGACUGCCGGGGUCAACUCGGAGGAAGGUGGGGAUGACGUCAAAUCAUCAUGCCCCUUAUGUCUUGGGCUUCACGCAUGCUACAAUGGCCGGUACAGAGGGCUGCGAUACCGUGAGGUGGAGCGAAUCCCUUAAAGCCGGUCUCAGUUCGGAUCGGUGUCUGCAACUCGACACCGCGAAGUUGGAGUCGCUAGUAAUCGCAGAUCAGCAACGCUGCGGUGAAUACGUUCUCGGGCCU